GGAGGUUGUGGCCUUGAGCCGUGGCUUUCGGAGCUAACGCGUUAAGUAGACCGCCUGGGGAGUACGGUCGCAAGAUUAAAACUCAAAUGAAUUGACGGGGGCCCGCACAAGCGGUGGAGCAUGUGGUUUAAUUCGAUGCAACGCGAAGAACCUUACCUACUCUUGACAUCCAGAGAACUUUCCAGAGAUGGAUUGGUGCCUUCGGGAACUCUGAGACAGGUGCUGCAUGGCUGUCGUCAGCUCGUGUUGUGAAAUGUUGGGUUAAGUCCCGCAACGAGCGCAACCCUUAUCCUUGUUUGCCAGCGAGUAAUGUCGGGAACUCCAGGGAGACUGCCGGUGAUAAACCGGAGGAAGGUGGGGACGACGUCAAGUCAUCAUGGCCCUUACGAGUAGGGCUACACACGUGCUACAAUGGCGCAUACAGAGGGCGGCCAACUUGCGAAAGUGAGCGAAUCCCAAAAAGUGCGUCGUAGUCCGGAUUGGAGUCUGCAACUCGACUCCAUGAAGUCGGAAUCGCUAGUAAUCGUGGAUCAGAAUGCCACGGUGAAUACGUUCCCGGGCCUUGUACACACCGCCCGUCACACCAUGGGAGUGGGCUGCAAAAGAAGUAGGUAGUUUAACCUUCGGGGGGACGCUUACCACUUUGUGGUUCAUGACUGGGGUGAAGUCG
rnacentral:rRNA from 2 species